rnacentral:rRNA from 1 species
GAUGAACGCUGGCGGCGUGCCUAAUACAUGCAAGUCGAGCGAACAGACGAGGAGCUUGCACCUCUGACGUUAGCGGCGGACGGGUGAGUAACACGUGGAUAACCUACCUAUAAGACUGGGAUAACUUCGGGAAACCGGAGCUAAUACCGGAUAAUAUAUUGAACCGCAUGGUUCAAUAGUGAAAGACGGUUUUGCUGUCACUUAUAGAUGGAUCCGCGCCGCAUUAGCUAGUUGGUAAGGUAACGGCUUACCAAGGCAACGAUGCGUAGCCGACCUGAGAGGGGGAUCGGCCACACUGGAAAUGAGACAGGGUCCAGACUCCUACGGGAGGCAGCAGUAGGGAAUCUUCCGCAAUGGGCGAAAGCCUGACGGAGCAACGCCGCGUGAGUGAUGAAGGUCUUCGGAUCGUAAAACUCUGUUAUUAGGGAAGAACAAAUGUGUAAGUAACUAUGCACGUCUUGACGGUACCUAAUCAGAAAGCCACGGCUAACUACGUG